CCUACGGGUGGCAGCAGUGGGGAAUAUUGGGCAAUGGGCGCAAGCCUGACCCAGCAAUGCCGCGUGAAGGAAGAAGGCUUUCGGGUUGUAAACUUCUUUGACAGGGGAAGAGCAGAAGACGGUACCCUGAAAACAAGCCACGGCUAACUCCGUGCCAGCAGCCGCGGUAAUACGGAGGAUGCGAGCGUUAUCCGGAUUUAUUGGGUUUAAAGGGUGCGUAGGCGGAAUGUCAAGUCAGCGGUAAAAAUUCGGGGCUCAACCCCGUCGUGCCGUUGAAACUGAUGUUCUUGAGUGGGCGAGAAGUAUGCGGAAUGCGUGGUGUAGCGGUGAAAUGCAUAGAUAUCACGCAGAACUCCGAUUGCGAAGGCAGCAUACCGGCGCCCAACUGACGCUGAAGCACGAAAGCGUGGGUAUCGAACAGGAUUAGAUACCCUUGUAGUC
rnacentral:rRNA from 1 species